rnacentral:rRNA from 1 species
GAAAUGCUUNGAUAUCACGAAGAACUCCGAUUGCGAAGGCAGCUUGCUGGACUGUAACUGACGNUGAGGCACGAAAGCGUGGGGAUCAAACAGGAUUAGAUACCCUGGUAGNCCACGCCGUAAACGAUGAAUGCUAGCUGUUAGCGAUAUACUGUUAGCGGCACAGAGAAAUCGUUAAGCAUUCCACCUGGGGAGUACGCCGGCAACGGUGAAACUCAAAGGAAUUGACGGGGGCCCGCACAAGCGGAGGAACAUGUGGUUUAAUUCGAUGAUACGCGAGGAACCUUACCUGGGCUUAAAUUGCAGUGGAAUAACGUGGAAACAUGUUAGCCUUCGGGCCGCUGUGAAGGUGCUGCAUGGUUGUCGUCAGCUCGUGCCGUGAGGUGUCGGCUUAAGUGCCAUAACGAGCGCAACCCUCAUCGAUAGUUACUAACAGGUUAAGCUGAGGACUCUAUCGAGACUGCCGACGUAAGUCGUGAGGAAGGUGGGGAUGACGUCAAAUCAGCACGGCCCUUACGUCCAGGGCUACACACGUGUUACAAUGGGGGGUACAAAGGGCAGCUACCUGGCGACAGGAUGCUAAUCUCAAAAACCUCUCUCAGUUCGGAUUGGAGUCUGCAACCCGACUCCAUGAAGCUGGAUUCGCUAGUAAUCGCGCAUCAGCCACGGCGCGGUGAAUACGUUCCCGGGCCUUGUACACACCGCCCGUCAAGCCAUGGGAGCCGGGGGGACCUGAAGUAUGCAACCGUAAGGAGCGUCCUAGGGUAAAACUGGUGACUGGGGCU